UACGGAGGGUGCAAGCGUUAAUCGGAAUUACUGGGCGUAAAGCGCACGCAGGUGGCUGAGUCAGUCGAUUGUGAAAGCCCUGGGCUUAACCUGGGAAUUGCAGUCGAUACUACUCAGCUAGAGUAUGGGAGAGGGCAGUGGAAUUCCCGGUGUAGCGGUGAAAUGCGUAGAUAUCUGGAGGAAUACCGGUGGCGAAGGCGGCAUCCUGGACCGACAUUGACGCUGAACGGCGAAAGCUAGGGGAGCAAACGGG
rnacentral:rRNA from 1 species